rnacentral:rRNA from 1 species
UAGGGAAUUUUCGUCAAUGGGGGGAACCCUGAACGAGCAAUGCCGCGUGAGUGAGGAAGGUCUUCGGAUCGUAAAGCUCUGUUGUAAGAGAAAAACGGCACUCAUAGGGAAUGAUGAGUGAGUGAUGGUAUCUUACCAGAAAGUCACGGCUAACUACGUGCCAGCAGCCGCGGUAAUACGUAGGUGGCGAGCGUUAUCCGGAAUGAUUGGGCGUAAAGGGUGCGUAGGUGGCAGAUCAAGUCUGGAGUAAAAGGUGUGGGCUCAACCCGUACUGGCUCUGGAAACUGAUCAGCUAGAGAACAGAAGAGGACGGCGGAACUCCAUGUGUAGCGGUAAAAUGCGUAGAUAUAUGGAAGAACACCGGUGGCGAAGGCGGCCGUCUGGUCUGGAUUCUGACACUGAAGCACGAAAGCGUGGGGAGCAAAUAGGAUUAGAUACCCUAGUAGUCCACGCCGUAAACGAUGAGAACUAGGUGUUGGGGGAAUAACUCAGUGCCGCAGUUAACGCAGUAAGUUCUCCGCCUGGGGAGUAUGCACGCAAGUGUGAAACUCAAAGGAAUUGACGGGGGCCCGCACAAGCGGUGGAGUAUGUGGUUUAAUUCGAAGCAACGCGAAGAACCUUACCAGGCCUUGACAUCCCUUGCAGAGGUAUAGAGAUAUAUCCGAGGUUAUCAAGGAGACAGGUGGUGCAUGGUUGUCGUCAGCUCGUGUCGUGAGAUGUUGGGUUAAGUCCCGCAACGAGCGCAACCCUUGUGAUAUGUUACUAACAUUGAGUUGAGGACUCAUAUCAGACUGCCGGUGAUAAACCGGAGGAAGGUGGGGAUGACGUCAAAUCAUCAUGCCCCUUAUGGCCUGGGCUACACACGUACUACAAUGGCGUCUACAAAGAGCGGCAAGCCUGUGAAGGCAAGCGAAUCUCAUAAAGGACGUCUCAGUUCGGAUUGAAGUCUGCAACCCGACUUCAUGAAGCUGGAAUCGCUAGUAAUCGCGAAUCAGCAUGUCGCGGUGAAUACGUUCUC